UGCACUGCCUUUGGGGCUCCAGUCCAUGC
rnacentral:piRNA from 1 species